AACGUAGGUGGCUAACGUUAUCCGGAUUUACUGGGCGUAAAGAGUGCGUAGGCGGCUAUAUAAGUCAGAUGUAAAAUCUCCUGGCUCAACUGGGAGGGACCAUCUGAUACUGUGUAGCUAGAGUACAGCAGAGGAAAGUGGAACUCCCGGUGUAGUGGUGGAAUGCGUAGAUAUCGGGAAGAACACCAGUGGCGAAAGCGGCUUUCUGGGCUGUUACUGACGCUGUUGCACGAAAGCGUGGGGAGCAAACAGG
rnacentral:rRNA from 1 species